CGAUAAAUGAAUAGAUUAAUAGAUAAUAAUUUUUAGUGCCUAAACCACUUGAACACCCCCCCCCCUGCAAAUUUUUCCACACAUUCGAGAAGAAACAAAACAAUUGAAGUUAACAAAGAAACGUGAUAACAUCCUCUGCACAUCCACAGAUAACAUCCCUUGCACAUAGAAGAAACAUAAGCACGAAAUGCAAAACGACACAAAAGCGAGGGCCCAAUACAAUUUACUUUAACGAAGAAAGCGAGGGCGUAAAAAAAUAAACUAAUUGUGAAUGAGAUAAGAUCAGUGUAUUGUUGACCCAGGGAUUAAAUUAAAUCGAAAUCGAAAUAAAUCACACAGAGACCUGUGGAACAGACACAAGUACAGUGCAAAGACUCAACGCAUCUAUCAUAUAGGUAAGCUAUUUUUCAUUUUUUACAAAACAUUUUAGAUUUGUACGGUUCGUUUUACUUUAGAAUCCAGAACAUUGCAUGGCGUGUAGAAAAAUCAGUGCUCGAUGAUUUAUAUUUUUCAACGGGAGUGUUCCCAAACGUGAAAAUAUAGUAGCAAUUUUUGUAUUUCUAGCUUAUCGUGAACCACUUUAACCACUGUUAUUCAUAGCAAACUCUCAUUUCAAGAGUAUCUUACUUUUUUAAAACUCUUUACUUACGUUCCACGCAUGCAUGGCGUGCUGUAGCGAAAAAGCAAAAAAUCUUGAUGAAAAAAAAGAUGCAGUACGGUGAAGUGUUAAGAAAGAGAAAAUAUCGACUCAUAUUGUGUGGUUUCAAAUCAUUUUUGUGGUGUUCGUUUGUAAGUAACAUGCUGGGAUUUCUAUGAAGUGCAGAACGUAUGUAUGACAAGACUCGUGUUUCACGAUAAAAUCUAACAAUACACAAGGCGGCAAGGGUAUUCUAGUGUCACAAUAAAAGUACAUUCUACAAUAGUAAGCCAUGAUCUUUUUCUUUCGUACUACGCAGACUUUAUUAUAUUUAUUAAUCAAGGAGGGAAAAAUCAUAAUAAUGCAUAAUUAAUACAAUGAUCGUUAUCACACAUUCUACACAGAAAACAUCUAAUAGUUUAUAUAUCAGUUCUUUUUUCUUUUAACUUACAAACAUAAAAUGCAACCAUAUGAUGGUGUAACUUAAUGAAAUGUUUCAGUGUUGUACAAUGUGAAUGAAGAAUAAAAAGCGAUAUCUGCGGUGUGAUAAUUAGCAACCACAUAUGAAAUUAAGAAGGUGAAAAUGAGCGAACAAUGUUAUCAUGGAAAUCUUGAUCACAAUUUACAUUCCUAUUGUAGCAAGGAAUGCCUCCAAGCUAAGCUGUGUCGUGAUGAUGGGGUUUAGUAAUGGCACAGAAUAGAGACAAACAGAAGCCAGACUUCUUGGUUUUUCCAAUGAUUUUGGCGUAACCGUAGUUCCUCAUCAAAAUGCUGAUGCCACAGGCCUAGGCAGUACGCCUAUGAGAGGCAUCUCCCGAUAAUAUUAAAAAUGGUGGACGUCCAGGGAAGUCUCUCAAAAGCGCACUGGACCAUGGGGUCAGCAUUUUGAUGACGAAUCCUGGCGUGGCAGCGGUUACGCUUAUGUGGCUGAGUCGACCUUCUGUGUGUUUUUAUUCUGUGGUAAAGGGCUCUUCACAUGAUUGUGGUUUGCCAAAACGGAAGGCGGGAUGAUUUUGAUGUAUUGAAAUCAAUCACUAGACUUAAACGAAAGCUCGAACGCCAGUUAAAAGACCUCAAAUGUUGUCGAGAAGAUCUCGUAGUUCAAGAAGAUUAUUAUUGCUGCGUUUACAAUUAUACCAAAUCUAUCACUAAAAAAAUAAUGUAGUUUUGCUAUGGAUCGUACACGGUGACGUAUGUCAGUACAUCAAAUCAUCUCGCAUCUCGCCGCGGUAAACCAGCAAACCAGGAUGAUGUAAACAGCUCCUUAAGCAUUGCAGGGCAGACGAUUGUGGUUAACGUCAGAGACAUUUGCUUCUUGUUCAUUAUAGAGAAACAAGGAUGAAAGCUUCACAUGUAUGCCUCGUGAUUUUGGCAAAUUUCUGCUUAUCAACGCUAGCACUACCGGCAUUAGGAAAAGGUUAGAUAUUUUAUACCAAAUAUAUUUAUGAUGUAUACUCCUCUCUAAAGCAACCUCUUAAAUAUGUUCCCCUCCUCUUAAUAACGCCCUUUGUUCAGAGAAAUGAUUUAAUCAAGCCGGACUAACCCUAAUCCAAGGUAAUGUCAAAAAGGGAUGAAUGAGAGGUAGUUUACGAGAUGGUUCCAAAAUUGAAACAAGAGUUGGCGUUAGUACUAAUUAGGGUUAAUGUGGGGGUUAGGAUUAGGUAAGGGUAAGGUUUAGUAUUGUUGCAAUUGGCUGGUUGUUGUUUCUUCAACGUUUUAAAAACUAGCGGUCAUCUUGAAAAUCUGCCUCUAGUCCAUCCCCUUUAGCUACGAC
rnacentral:lncRNA from 1 species